GACGAACGCUGGCGGCGUGCUUAACACAUGCAAGUCGAACGGAAAGGCCCCCACCUUGGUGGGGGUGCUCGAGUGGCGAACGGGUGAGUAACACGUGGGUGAUCUGCCCUGUACUUCGGGAUAAGCUUGGGAAACUGGGUCUAAUACCGGAUAGGACCAUGGUUUAGUGUCUCAUGGUGGAAAAAUUAUUGUUUUGGUGCAGGAUGAGCUCGCGGCCUAUCAGCUUGUUGGUGGGGUAAUGGCCUACCAAGGCGUCGACGGGUAGCCGGCCUGAGAGGGUGGACGGCCCCCUUGGGACGGAGAUUCGGCCCAGUCUCCUACGGGAGGCAGCCGUGGGGAAUAUUGCACAAUGGGCGCAAGCCUGAUGCAGCGACGCCGCGUGGGGGAUGACGGCCUUCGGGUUGUAAACUCCUUUCGUUAGGGACGAAGCCACACCUUUUUUGGGUGUGGUGACGGUACCUUUGUUAAGAAGCACCGGCUAACUACGUG
rnacentral:rRNA from 1 species